rnacentral:rRNA from 1 species
GUCGUGAGAUGUUGGGUUAAGUCCCGCAACGAGCGCAACCCUUAUCCUAUGUUGCCAGCGCGUCAUGGCGGGGACUCAUAGGAGACUGCCGGGGUCAACUCGGAGGAAGGUGGGGAUGACGUCAAGUCAUCAUGCCCCUUACGUCUUGGGCUGCACACAUGCUACAAUGGCCGGUACAAAGGGCUGCGAUACCGCAAGGUGGAGCGAAUCCCAAAAAGCCGGUCUCAGUUCGGAUCGGGGUCUGCAACUCGACCCCGUGAAGUCGGAGUCGCUAGUAAUCGCAGAUCAGCAUUGCUGCGGUGAAUACGUUCCCGGGCCUUGUACACACCGCCCGUCACGUCACGAAAGUCGGUAACACCCGAAGCCGGUGGCCCAACCCUUGUGGGGGGAGCCGUCGAAGGUGGGACCGGCGAUUGGGACGAAGUCGUAACAAGGUAGCCGUACCGGAAGGUGCGGCUGGAUCACCUCCUUUCUAAGGAGCUUUCUGGCUGGGUGCCUUCUGUAGUGGAGGGUGUCUGGUCCAGAGCGAAGACCAGCUGGAUGGUUGGUCUGGGUGCUCAUGGGUGUGGAACGCUGACUAUGUUUCUGUCUGGUCUGGUCUGUUGUCCGGGGUUCCUGUGUGUUCUCUGGGUGGUGGGUUGUCUGGGUGGAUCGGUACGCUGUUGGGUUGUGAGGGAGUGAGUGGCCAAUUUUGUAACACCCAGCCCUUCUGGUGACCGGUUUUUUGGGAUUCGAUCCACCUUGGCGUUCUGGAUCCUUUUUGUCCAGCCAAUGUAGUUGUUUGUGAGCCCAAGCGAU